CCCACACGUCAUCCUGCGCGUCCUGCGAGGUGUCUUGCAGGCCGUCAUGCAGGCCACACUGACGGAAACGUUGCAGGUCGUCUUGCAGGGCUUCUCGCAAGACGACAUAUUCAUCACCCUCGACG
rnacentral:pre_miRNA from 8 species